rnacentral:rRNA from 1 species
UACGUAGGUGGCAAGCGUUGUCCGGAUUUACUGGGCGUAAAGGAUGCGUAGGCGGACAUUUAAGUCAGAUGUGAAAUACCCGAGCUUAACUUGGGUGCUGCAUUUGAAACUGGGUGUCUAGAGUGCAGGAGAGGUAAGUAGAAUUCCUAGUGUAGCGGUGAAAUGCGUAGAGAUUAGGAAGAAUACCAGUGGCGAAGGCGACUUUCUGGACUGUAACUGACACUGAGGCUCGAAAGCGUGGGGAGCAAACAGG